UUAAGUCGAAAGUGAUUCGGCCAUCAUGGAGCUAAAGCCAAAUCGUAGUUUGCAUUUUAACCAAGAAUGAGAUUUUUUAUUGGGUUUUAAAUCGAACCUUCGUCAUUGGGCGUCCCUAGACUCGGUUCGAAGGCAUCCCUCAAUAGAAUCGGCAACCCCGUCGGCCGGCUGCCAGGGGAGAGAGACAAUAGAUUUAGUGGUUAGGGAGAAACGCCGGACAGCUGUCAACCCUAAAAAACGCGAGGAUUGUCCAAGAAGUGUCUCGCCGCCACAGACUAUUUCGCAGAUUUCUUGUUUUAAACUGGACCCCGUUCGAGUUUACUCUCGGAAAUACAAAGAAACCCUUAAUGACGCGCCGGUCCUUUUCGAUAUGAUUUCAUCCAGGUGAUGUUGGGGUAAGGUGAUGUCAGACCAAUCAGGCCGGGGGUACUUACCCCCGACAGUACCUACUUCAGGGUCACAUCUGAGGCCAUGGUCGACAUCAAUGCUUCAGCCUCCUUACUUUGGAGCCCAGAAUUGGCAUUCACAAAUCAAGCCUUAUAUGGCGAUCGGCUCUAACAGUCCUCAAUCGGAAGGGAUAGAUUUGUCCUCACGCCCUGAACCUGCUCAUAACGGAGAACCUUUGAAUGGACAAAUCAAAGAAAGUACUGCUGGUGUCAGCGUUAUUGCUCCAAACCCUCUCAUCCAACAGGACGAGGUUAAAGAAGAUAGUGCAUCGCCGAUAGGGAGUAAAGCCCCUUUUGAAAGAGUGUUGUCUGUCGAUUACCUCUCUAACGACAAUAAAAUGCCGGCUUAUCCUUUGGAGUACAAAGGUCAUCCUGCUCACCCUCUACUUCCAAAUAAGGGCCUGGAAGUAGGGAUUCCUUCUCCUGUUGAAAGUAAAGAUAUCCCUGCAGAGAGUAAAGGCACACCUUCUCAUCCGGUUGAAUCAAAAGUCCCUCUUCAAGAGACAUUACCUGACCCUGAAACCCAGAAGACACCUUCUGCCAUUCCCCAACCUCCUGAUUCUGCAAAAACAACCGUAGAACCCGAAGCCAAAGAUGUAUGUCAACCACCAGAAGCGGAUCAUGUAGAAUCUUUGUUAGAAAAUAUGUUUCAAGGGGAAGAAACUCCUGUGAAACAAUCUGUUAUAGUAAAAAAUUCUACGAAGGUUCCUGCUUUAACAGAAGAUAAGGUUGUAGCCAUCUUGGAAGACAAAAAUGAACCUGUUACUUCUCUUAAAGCUAAAUUACCUCCUUCAUCAGAAACGAGUACCAAUUUGAUAUCUACCACGAACACAGCUGAAGAAUCUCCCUCCACUCUAUUGACAGCAGAUGAAGUAAAACAAGAGAAAACCGGACCUGAUAUAAAAAACCAGUUUAUGGAAGUAGAAUCAGAGUUAGAGAAAAUGUUUGCCGGUAUAGUAGAAUCGGCGGAUGAAUCUAAACUCCCAUCAAAGCCCGAGAUGAAAAAGAAGGCUGGCAGGCCUACAAAACCACGACAGCGCAAGUCCACAGAUUCAGUUGGAGAAAAAAAAGAGAAAAAAAGAAAAAAUAAGAAAGUAGAUGAAGGAAGGGAUAGCAAGGUUAAAAAAGCCAAACACGUUAAAAUUACAAAAGAAGGCUCUAAUGACAGUAUGACUGUAUUAAGUAAAUCUCGAGGUCCGUACAUACAUAUCGAAGGUACUAAAGAGGCUCCGACGUAUGUUGGGGUUGUAAAUAGUUGGGGCAGAGAGGAGGAAGAAAGGGAGCGAGGCUCAGACAAAACUGGGGGGCGAAGGAAGCCACAUUCUUUUGCUGAAGGGCGAAUCAAAGGCAGUGGUCUGUAUGUCAGUACAUUGUCAGCGAAGUACAAUUCACAGAGUGCAGAUUUGACAUGGGUCUGUAUAUUUUGUAAACUUCGAUCACACUGUGAAAAUGGCCUAGGAGGUGAACCUUCGGGUGACCUGUACGGCCCUUACAUUCUGACAAUACCAAAAGCAGAGGAUUUAGAUAGGAAAGUUCCUAGUGACAAAGAAGUUGCUGCAGAACAGAAGAAAAAAGGUGGAGGUAUACAGCAAAGCCUUCGGGCUGUUGGCACUGCUGACCUAUUUGUUAAAGAAUUCACAAAAAAGAAUAAAAAAAAUAAUUCGCUAAUUGAGGAUCUUAGUGGUGAAAGAGAGGUUUGGGUGCAUGAGAUGUGUGCAGUAUGGGCUCCAGGAGUGCUUUUAGUCGGACCUCACUUAAUAGGCUUAGGCGAUGCCAUAGCGUCCGCAUCUGUAUCGAAAUGUACAAGAUGUGGUGAAUACGGCGCUUGUAUCGGCUGUGUCGUAAGAAAUUGUUCCGGGAGAAGUCAUUACGGUUGCGCACUCGCUGCAAACUGGGACCUAGACUUUGACAAUUUUAUAGCUACAUGCCCUGUCCAUACCCAAAAGACAGAGAGGUUCUUAAUGAAAAUGUAUAUAUAAUUUUGAGUCGUUACAAAUUAUAUCAAUCAAUGCCUUCUCACACUUCAAAAUUGAACGUGGAAUUUGCGGCUGAAACUACUUGGAGUGAGGAGUGCAUAAUACUAAUUAGAAUAUAUAUUAAAGAAAAAGACAGAUGGAUGUAUUACACUAAGUACCUCAGAUUUUAUUUUAUUAAUGACAACAAAACUCCAAGUUUUCUUGUAAAUAAUUCCCUCCCUAAAUUUUAGUAAUUAUAUUUAACAAUGUCUUUUCAAUCGUUUUAAUAAAACAGUUAGUCCAGGAUCGAGGUAUCUUGUAAAAACCUUGAAGAACAUUUAAUUUUGAUGUUAAAUGAUUCAAUUCGAAGCUGUAUCAGUUUUAAUAAGAUUAUCAGACCUGAUAUAAAACGCUUAAUCUUGGAAGUGAUGCACAUUUUUUUAAAUCUUCAAUUAUUUUAAUAAUUUUCUUAACAUCACAAUGUGAAAAUAACGGUAUUAUUAUUUUCUUGUGUGAUGAUGGUUAGGUGUUAUACAUAUGAAUGAUAUAUCUAAGUAUGUGAUAGAGGGUCACUUUUUUCAAAAGGGCUGUGUAAUUAUUCUCAAU
rnacentral:misc_RNA from 1 species